rnacentral:sRNA from 1 species
UGAAAUGAUAAAUCUGCCACAAUAUCAG